UAAUUCAUUUACUUCUCCAUCACUGUAGCUGCCUUCCAUCCCUGUCAUUUGCUUUGGCUGUGGGAUUGCAGAAGCACCAGAAAACUGCAGAGGAAAGAGAAGGAAUGACAUUCAAAUCGACAUAACUACAUCUAUUGGUUAAGGUAAUUCACUGCAGCAUACUCUAAUACUGAGAGGAAGACAAACACAAAACUGACCCAGAGGUAAAUGUCCACAGCUUUGAUGUAGGAAACUCGAGGCAUGGAGGCAUUGACACCAGUGAUGAUGGUAGACAUGGCACAGCACGGCGGUCUAUCCAGAAAGAAACCCAAGACAACAUGACCAUCAGAGUGGCAGGGAAAUAGGUCUGAAGCAAGAAGAAGAAGAUAUGUCGUCUUAAUGUGAAGUUGAUGAAGAGACGGUUGUACCAACCUGCAAGAGGAAGAGGGAGAACCAGAUCACAAUGAAGACAACCAAUGAUAGUAACUACAUAAACAACAUGGAACUCUUACAGUAUUUAUUUUUCAUAAUACUGUGCUUUAGAAUUAGCACCAAAAAGGGGCACUUUUCACUUUAAUAAUGCAAACAUGCAAAUAAUAUUUAGAAUUCCUGUGGAUUCAGUUUAGAUAUUUUUUUAAAAAUUGAGCAAAACAGACAGGUUUACCCAAGUUUAAUGAAAUCAAAUAGUCUGCUGUAAAUAGAUCUGGGUUUUUUCUUUCCGAAUUUCUCCCAUCAUGAUGAAAGAGACACAAAAAGUCUCCACAUUCUCUAUUUCUGUGAAGCAAAUGUUGCGAUUGGUUUGACACUUCCUGCUGUCAAAAUACCCUCACUCACACUGGAACAGGUGGAAGGUGACAUUUUGACAAAUAGAAAUGCCCUACUCCUACUAAGUUCCAUUAACAGUUCUAUUUGUACAAGAAUGACUUCUGUUCCUUCUUCUCUCUAGCCUUUCUUUGUGAACAUUUUUAGAAUUCAUAAGACUGAAACAUUUCUUCAGACAACAGCAAUAGCACCCAGAAUUAUAUACCGCUUCACAGUGCUUUACAGCGCACUCUAAGUGGUUUACAGAGUCAGCAUAUUGCCCCCAAAAAUCUGGGUUGUCAUUUUACCAAGUUAUUAUAUCUUUCAGCACACCACUUUUACGAACUGAUGAACAAUUAUAAAGCGAUUCUUGAAUGCAACAUUAAUCUUGCCAAGGAAAUCUUUUAUUUGUGAAUAUUUAAGUCACAUAAUCUUCUUAGAUUAUAUACCUCAAAUAUUCUUUCUUAGUAAAACCUGUAAAAUAAUGUUACAAAAGUCCUUUUUUGGCCUGAUGGGCAAUUUGGCAAAAACAGAUUCUUGAAAGUAAAAGAAUGGAAAUUCUAGAUAAUACCUUUUUUUUUCCAGAAAAGCCUAGAACUUUCUCAAGAAUUGAAAUCAUAUGAGUUUCAAAAAAUUGGCUAAUUAGAUAGUUAUGGUAGAUAUUUUUCCUAGAAGUUUUUCUGAUCAUAAUCCAGUAAUCUUAACAUUCAAGAGAAAAAUUUACAAAUUUUAGAUGGAGAUUAAAUGAAGUACUAUUACAAAAAAAAAGAAUUGUGAAAACUGUAAAAAGAAGUUAAAUUAUUUUUUAAAUUAUAAUUUGGAUUUAAUGACUGUCUUGAAUGCCAGUGAAGCUGUAAUGAGAAAUUAUUUCAUUCAAUAUAGUCAUAAACUAAACAAAGAAAUCCCUAGAAACAAAAGAAAUUUUUAAAAAACAGGAGGAUUUACAGAAAGUAUAAAUAGACUCUGUUAUUUUAUAUCAAAUUAAAUUCUUACUUCCACAAUUAUCUGUAAUAAUUAUAAGAGAAAUAGAGUCCUAACUAAACUAUAUGAAAUAGAAGAACUUUGAAUUUGCAGAUAAACCAGGGAAAUGGUUGGCAUAUGAAUUGAGAAAGGAGAGAGAAAAGAAAACAAUAUUAAAGAUCCAGAAAGGCAAGAUUGUACUAAAACAGUGAUGGCUAAAAUU